GCCCGCUUGGUGGAAUGGAAUACGCGCUGCAUUCAGGAUGCAGUCUUCGGAUCCGGGUUCAAAUCCCGGAGCGGGUA
rnacentral:tRNA from 1 species